rnacentral:rRNA from 1 species
AUGAACGCUGGCGGCGUGCCUAAUACCUGCAAGUCGCGCGAACAGACGAGGAGCUUGCUCCUCUGACGUUAGCGGCGGACGGGUGAGUAACACGUGGAUAACCUACCUAUAAGACUGGGAUAACUUCGGGAAACCGGAGCUAAUACCGGAUAAUAUAUUGAACCGCAUGGUUCAAUAGUGAAAGACGGUUUUGCUGUCACUUAUAGAUGGAUCCGCGCCGCAUUAGCUAGUUGGUAAGGUAACGGCUUACCAAGGCAACGAUGCGUAGCCGACCUGAGAGGGUGGUCGGCCACACUGGAACUGAGACACGGUCCAGACUCCUACGGGAGGCAGCAGUUGGGAAUCUUCCGCAAUGGGCGAAAGCCUGACGGAGCAACGCCGCGUGAGUGAUGAAGGUCUUCGGAUCGUAAAACUCUGUUAUUAGGGAAGAACAAAUGUGUAAGUAACUAUGCACGUCUUGACGGUACCUAAUCAGAAAGCCACGGCUAACUACGUG